rnacentral:rRNA from 1 species
GAAAUUUAACGGAUUUGGCGGCAAGAUAGCCCCUUAGAGGAACCUGCCCUGUAAACGAUGAACCACGAGGGACUCUACUUUCUUUGGUAGUCAGUUUGUAUAUCGCUGUUGUCAGUUAGAUUCUUGAGAAUAUUUUCGUGUAUGAAAAGUUCAUUGACUUCAAGUAAAGGUGCAGCUUAUAAGGAAGAUAGAGGUGGGUUACAUUUAUGAGAAUAAAACGGAAAGGAUGGAUGAAACAAUCCUUGAAGGUGGAUUUAACUGUAAAACUUAAGUAGGUUUGGUGAGAGCUCUAUCUUGUGUACACACCGCCCGUC